rnacentral:lncRNA from 1 species
AACAAGUGUCAGAGAAGUUAGAAUAAAAUACAAAAAGGAUUAAAAAUAAAAUAACAUAAAAAAAUGAAAUGGUAAAAAAUAAUGAAAUAAAUAGAAAGUGAGUUGUACAACGGUCGAACCCAUGACUUAGUGGGAAGCACCGGAUGCCACUACUACUAGGUUAUGAGUGAUUAGUCAUAAGUUAAUCGCACCCAUUAAUAUAUAGUUUGACUUUUAUUACAAAAAUGGAAAAAUGCAAAAAACACCAACAAAAAC